rnacentral:lncRNA from 1 species
AAGCCUGUCGGAAGUUCUGGAGGCCCAGACUUGGGACUGGUCAGUAGCCAGGGACCGAGUGGGGCAGUUGUUGGGGAUGUCUUGGGGAGUGAAUAAAUGGCAAUAAAGAGCUCUUUAGAAUAGAAUUCAAUAAUAUAUUUAGAAAAAAGAAUGGAAUUGUAACCCAAUCAUAGGUUCAGCAGCCCGCUGCUUACAGAGCACAAUUAACAAGAGUGAGGUCU